ACAAGCCCAUCUAUUCCUAAGACCAAAUUUGCCGACGGCAAGAACUUUUCCAUUCACUGCACGCGUCUCCUCAACUUCACCUCCUUUUCAAUCCAGAAAAUAAGACGUUGUAACUCUUCCUUUCCAUGUAGUUAAUUCACCUCCACCACUACUACUCAUUAAAUUAUCUCCUUUAUUCUUUCCAAAUGAUCGCUCCAACUCCCUCUGUUUCUCUGGCGAUGCGAUCGGAAAAAUUCAACAGCAAUUCUCCAUUUUCUAUGUUUUCCUGGCGACAUCUCAGGGUUAUCUGAGAUGGAUCUAAGUUCCCGUAAUCCACUUGGAGGGUGGAAACACCCUGGUUCUUAUUGAAGAGCUGUGAACAGUGAUGCAAAGCUUCAGAUCAUCAAAUCGGGCUCCACGAUACCAACCUCACAUCAAACCGACAACUACUUACAUCCUCAGGAAUUAAUAUGCGAGGAAAAUCAAGAACAUCUACAAAGUUGCUGAUCAAAGUUCCACUUAUAUGAAGAUUUUGAAGCUAACUGUGGGCUCAGGAACCUCUAUUAUGAGGGGAAGGUGUAAAAGAUUACGUCCCGGGAACAUUGGACUUGGAAGUAUGAGGAGAUAAGACAGAGGCGGAAUAAGAGCAACCUGAGAUUUUUGUAUAAUGCUGAACUGGAUCCAGAGAUCGUUUGUGGCUGCGAUUGCAUCAACGGCAAAGGGAUUUGUGUAGUGUCCACCAUAAAUAAGAUCGAUAGGUCAGGGGCUUCUUCUUAAUCAAUCAAAAAUGCAAAACCCCUUCCUGAGGACCAACAAGUAAUAAGGUCUCUGCAAUGGGCAUUGUCGAGAACUCUUUUUAUUAGUAUCUACAUAUGCAAUCACUUUAAAGAGAUCAAGGAGCCUUAACUAUACAAGGUCUAUUAUUAAUCCGAGCUUUUUUAUUUCUCAAUGAACAGGCGUACAAAACAAAGAAACUUUGCUAUGUAUCGGUCAUGCAGUGGCACUUCUGAGCUGUUGGGUUUGGUUAGAAUGUGUUUCAACAAUGUGAACCAAACUGUGAUCGAGAAUCAUAGAUUUAAUUUCUCGACUAAAUGUAGGUCCACAAUGUACGACUACGAAACUUUAUGUAAUUGUCAGAAGCUUCUUGAGAAGAUUUACGGUGGGUUGGUAGAAACAACAGCUGGCAAAUUAGUAGUAAUGUUUUCCAAUGUAAAAUACUGAUUGAAAGUGUAUGGUUAUUUUGUUUAUUUAUGAAUGAAUAUUACUAUUGUUCGUUUUUAACUCUUUCUGUUACCAUGAUCGACUUAGACGGUGCGAAGAGCUUUGAGAAUGAAGAAGGUGUAUCAGGAUGCCUGCGACCGUUCAGUUAAGCAUAUUCACACGGAUGUAUAGAUUGAUGGCGCAGACAGGAAAACUCUCCAAUGUAGGAAAUGGUGGCUCUGGAUGAAUCUAUUGAGAGGUUGCUACACAACAGCGAAGUGUUUCUCGACCGCCAGUGUCACACUCGUGGCGGAGAAGGCAGCAGGGUCUACGUGGCUAUCAGGUUUGAGAGAAUCGGAUCUGAAUAUUACUUUGUCUGUUUAGUCUAACCCUUUUCAUUACCCUGUUUCUGAAGUGGUCAAGUUAGACGCUGCGUUUUGUUGCAUGUGUGAGUCAGAGUAAAAUGAAAACGGUGUCUGAGGAGAAGAUAAGAUGUUCAGGAACUCGAAGACAAAACCAAAGAAGUACCAGAGCUGAAGACAUAGAGACAUACGAAGAAACUUAAUUAAUGGAUGAUCUAGAGAGAAUCGCGAGGCUGAAGCUAGCAGAUGCAGACAUGUUACAACUUAAAGCUAACAAAGCAUAACGGGGGCUGAGAGGUUGUAAAGAUUCUACUACGAAAAUGGAUAGGUUUGAAGAAGAAUGUGCAAGUAACUAUCUGAUACAGAGGUUAACCAAGGCUGAGGCAGAGAAGCAGUAUAUCUUUGAGAAGAUUAAGCUGAAGGAAAAUUUCAAGGAUCGCAUCACAAAGCGGUGGUGAUGGUGGUGGUAGUGGUGGAGAGUCUGGAGACCCGUCACAUGGGUUUGAUGUACUCAAAGAUCCGCGAUCCACAAUCAAAAGAGCACCAUCCUUUCAUGUCCGUUUGAUGCUUCUUUCCUUCUAGAUAUAUGUUCAGAUUUCAUAUCCUAAAAGGCUAAAACUCAUAUCUUUGUUUUGUGAAUUGAGUGUUUAUUUUGUCAAAAAAAAAAGUGAAACGAGUGUUUAUACUAUUAUUAACUUUAAUCUCUUAAUCUAAAUUUGUUCUGAA